CAGCCGCCACGGUAAUACGAAGGGUGCAAGCGUUAAUCGGAAUUACUGGGCGUAAAGCGUGCGUAGGCGGUUUGUUAAGUCUGUUGUGAAAUCCCCGGGCUCAACCUGGGAAUGGCAAUGGAUACUGGCAAGCUAGAGUGUGUCAGAGGAUGGUGGAAUUCCCGGUGUAGCGGUGAAAUGCGUAGAGAUCGGGAGGAACAUCAGAGGCGAAGGCGGCCAUCUGGGACAACACUGACGCUGAGGCACGAAAGCGUGGGGAGCAAACAGGAUUAGAUACCCCUGUAGUCCCUGUCUCUUAUAA
rnacentral:rRNA from 1 species